rnacentral:rRNA from 1 species
UACGUAGGUUGCAAGCGUUGUCCGGAUUUACUGGGUGUAAAGGGCGUGUAGGCGGAGGCGCAAGUUGGGAGUGAAAUCUAUGGGCUCAACCCAUAAACUGCUCUCAAAACUGUGCCCCUUGAGUAGUGCAGAGGUAGGCGGAAUUCCCGGUGUAGCGGUGGAAUGCGUAGAUAUCGGGAGGAACACCAGUGGCGAAGGCGGCUUUCUGGACUGAAACUGACGCUGAGGCUCGAAAGCGUGGGGAGCAAACAGG